UACGUAGGGUGCUAGCGUUGUCCGGAUUUAUUGGGCGUAAAGGGCUCGUAGGCGGCGUGUCGCGUCGGGAGUGAAAGCCCGCUGCUUAACGGCGGGUUGGCUUCCGGUACGGGCAUCGCUGGAGCGCGGCAGGGGAGACUGGAAUUCCUGGUGUAACGGUGAAAUGUGUUGAUAUCAGGAGGAACACCCAUGGCGAAGGCAGCAGACUGGGCGUUUCCUGACGCUGAGGCGCGAAAGCGUGGGUAGCAAACAGG
rnacentral:rRNA from 1 species